GAUCCUGUGUGAAAUGAAUUUUGAAUCAGACUGAGGAGAAAGGAUGAAUGAAGGCCACAUGGGUUUCAGAACAGAUGUUCUACAAAUAGGUUCAUUGUUGCAGGCUUUUUUUCAUUGAAAACAUUGCAAGGUGUCCAUAAAAACUUCUUGUGGACGUUUCACCCACUCCUCCUCCUUGUAUCUCUGAAGGCUCAGGCUAAUUGCAUCAUUUUCAGGGUAUUUUUGAAGAACAGAAGUGAUUUCAUUGUUUUGCCUGCAGGCUGGAAUGAUAACACUGCAGGGCGUGGUUCUCCUUAUGUAACAGUUCCCAUUGUUACUUUCUUAUUUGAAAGGUAGGUUUUCAAAGGUGAAACUGCACCCUUUAUAUUUAAAAGAAGGCAUUGGCCAGAUUUUCACUAGUGAUCAGAACCAUGGAAAUUAGACCUAAUGUAAUUUGACGUGGAUUGCAGAAUUAAAGAAUCUUGAGGCAGAAGGAAACAAUCACAUACAGCCACAACCCACAAUAUGCAGCAUGCUUGCCCCUGUGGCAGUGUCUGGAGAUGCAGAGAUGUGGACGGUUGAGAUUCCUGUGCUUACAAAGUUGACUUAGUGGGAAAACGGGGCAUUGAUUACAUCUCAUCCUCCUGAUAAAUGAUGCCAAUCUGGGAAACUCACUUAUUUCCAAGUUUGCCCUUACGUUGCUCUUGCCCCUAAUUCUGUUCUCAAGUGUAAUCAGGAGCGCCUGAUUUGUCGUGUUUGCCAAUUUCCAUUAUGUAAAUACUCCUACCUUGGCAAUAUUAAAUAACUGGUGUGGUGCUGAACACAAGAUUGGGAAGAGUUGUGUACCAUUGGCUUUUUGGUGUUAGUUAACACAGGGGCUCCUGCCACCACUGAACUCCACAUACAGUAAAUUAUCAUGACCGAUGAUGUAAUAACCAUAAACGAGGGUGGAUAAUGGUUCAUUGGGAACAGGAGUUUUAAAAGCUCUUUUAUACACAGUAUCUUUUUUAAGCAUAGUGAUAACACUGAGAAAUAAGUGCUAUUACCCCUCCCCAGGUUAAUCCAGCCUCUAUUCCCCAACACUAAAUUCUCAACCUCAUUGUAGUUAUCUCUACGUAACCACAAAAGGUUAUCCAAAUAUUUGGAGUAGAGUUGCUUGUAAGUGGCAGAUGUCAGAUUCAAACCCAUGUCUUUCUGAUCCCAGGAUGUGCACUUAUAAUCAAUGUGAAAUACAAAAUAUGUAAAAUUAAAAGCUAAUUGUGAAAAUUGAGCAGGGCCCUGUGGGGCUCCAGGGCACAGAAACCCUUCUGUGUUCCCUAUUUCUUGUCUGUAGGCUUCCUUCAGCCUCCUAGACCUUCCCUGAGUUCUAAAGGGUAGGUUCAAACCAUUGGUAAUCAGGGAAGGGCAGGGAUGCAGAGACAAAGGAGAAUAGUCAAACUACAAUAGUGCAGCCUUGGGAAAAGAUCCUGGUUCCCCCUUGGGAUACAGACAGCGAUAUCAUAAAGCUUUUCUGUAGAACUAAAACCCCCAACAAAAGGAAGGUGUUAACUUCUUAAUGAAACAUUUUCCUUCCAGAAGGAAAGGUCAUGGCAAGAUAACCUUAAGGACCACCAGAACCAGUCCCAGGCUACUAAACACCAGCUUUGGAGAAGAAUGCAAGCUUGCCUCUACCCUGAUUCUUAUCUGUGACCGUAUUUUCCGUCCCAAACUAUAAGACCCCUUCUUAUUCUCUCUCAAGGGAGGGCACAGUCUUUUGGGCAAUAAAUAAAUAAGGAUGGCUGUGCUCUCCUUUAUCUGGCAAGGCAAUAAAAGCUACUCAUUUCUACUUCACACAAAACUGUCUCCGGUUCGUAUUCAGCAUCUGUGAACAGAGGCCAGGUUUUUGCAACCAUUGAAUUUCAUCUAAGCUCUCUCCUUUCUGGUUGUAAGCAUCCAUAACCCAAAUGAAAUAGUUCAUUCAUUGAUUCAGUUUGCAGAGCAUCUGUGCAUGUUUGGUGUUGUCGGACAUACUCAUGUUGCAUAUGUGAACAAAACAGUAAAAACGAGAGUUGCCGGCUUGGCUCAGAGGGUUAAGAAUCAUGAGGAUGCAGGUUCCAUCCCUGGCCUCGCUCAGUGGGUUAAGGAUCUGGCAUUGCUGUGAGCUGCAGUGCAGGUCUCUGAUGCAGUUCUGAUCCUGUUUUGCUGUGCCUGUGGCAUAGACAGCAGUUGUAGUUCCAAUUUGACCCCUAGCCUGGAAAUUUCCAUAUGC
rnacentral:lncRNA from 1 species